CAGAGUAGGUCCGGCGCGUAAAGUGCCGCGGGAUGGGACGUUGCCCGCGGACGAAGCACACGCAUGUGCGCGGUGCCCGGAUCGCAUCCGCUGC
rnacentral:ncRNA from 1 species